AGAGUAGGCGAGGUGGUUGCGGAUUCAGCUACGGCUGAGUCUGAGGAAAGUCCGGCCUCCCGAAAGACCAAACUUGCUGGGUAACGCCCAGUGCGAGCGAUCGUGAGGAUAGUGCCACAGAAAAAUACCGCCCCUCGAUUUUAGAUUUUAGACUUUGGAUUCAAUCUAAAAUCUAAAAUCCAAAAUCCAAAGUUGUAGGGGGUAAGGGUGCAAAGGUGCGGUAAGAGCGCACCAGCAGCAUCGAGAGGUGCUGGCUCGGUAAACCCCGGUUGGGAGCAAGGAAGGAGCUACGGUUGGUCUUUUACCAGUUCCGACGAAAACCCGCUAGAGGCGUUUGGUAACAAACGUCCCAGAUAGAUAACCGCCGUUUUGGUUGGUUCGCCGCCAAGAUAACAGAACCCGGCUUAUGACCGACUCUUUCC
rnacentral:RNase_P_RNA from 1 species